UUCCUGGCUUCUCCCAAGACCGUAAGGACCAGAUUGACCUCGGAAUCAGAUGUAAAGGAGGAUGAAACCGAUGUUUAAGAAUGGGACAGUGAUAUUGCAUCAGUUUGUCUCCUACUUCAUUUGAUUCCACCAUCACCACAAGGCUGCAAGGGACCUGGAAAAAUGUCCUCCUAUCAAGCUGAAAAACAUCUUCAAAAAGGCACUAACAAGAAGAACACCUUGAUUGCAUAAAAGAGACCACACAGCUAUACCUGCUCGCUGAUGGGACAAAGAGGACCAUCAUUCAUGGAUGCUACACAACUGUCAACCAGU